rnacentral:rRNA from 1 species
CAUGCAAGUCGAGGGGCAGCAUAAUGGAUAGCAAUAUCUAUGGUGGCGACCGGCGCACGGGUGCGUAACGCGUAUGCAACCUACCUUUAACAGGGGGAUAACACUGAGAAAUUGGUACUAAUACCCCAUAAUAUCAUAGAAGGCAUCUUUUAUGGUUGAAAAUUCCGAUGGUUAGAGAUGGGCAUGCGUUGUAUUAGCUAGUUGGUGGGGUAACGGCUCACCAAGGCGACGAUACAUAGGGGGACUGAGAGGUUAACCCCCCACGCUGGUACUGAGACACGGACCAGACUCCUACGGGAGGCAGCAGUGAGGAAUAUUGGUCAAUGGACGCAAGUCUGAACCAGCCAUGCCGCGUGCAGGAUGACGGCUCUAUGAGUUGUAAACUGCUUUUGUACGAGGGUAAACGCAGAUACGUGUAUCUGUCUGAAAGUAUCGUACGAAUAAGGAUCGGCUAACUCCGUGCCAGCAGCCGCGGUAAUACGGAGGAUUCAAGCGUUAUCCGGAUUUAUUGGGUUUAAAGGGUGCGUAGGCGGUUUGAUAAGUUAGAGGUGAAAUUUCGGGGCUCAACCCUGAACGUGCCUCUAAUACUGUUGAGCUAGAGAGUAGUUGCGGUAGGCGGAAUGUAUGGUGUAGCGGUGAAAUGCUUAGAGAUCAUACAGAACACCGAUUGCGAAGGCAGCUUACCAAACUAUAUCUGACGUUGAGGCACGAAAGCGUGGGGAGCAAACAGGAUUAGAUACCCUGGUAGUCCACGCAGUAAACGAUGAUAACUCGUUGUCGGCGAUACACAGUCGGUGACUAAGCGAAAGCGAUAAGUUAUCCACCUGGGG